ACCUUCCCAGAGAAGAUGUCUUGCGCCUCACCUGAUCUUGUUCUGAGAGUAGGAGACUGGAAGAGAAGCGUUCAACUCCCCAAACACAGCUGGGUUUGUUUCGUUUAAUCUCCCAGCCUGUUUUUCUGCUGUCCUCCUGAAGAAUGUUUAAUCUCACAGUUAAAACCACCAAAAGCGACUUUUUUCCCCCUCAACUGCUCAGUAACACGUGACCGUGCAAAUUCUUUUGGCCCCAGCGCCACAAGUCAUAAAAGGCAUCUAGUGGGCGGCAUGAGUCAAUUUCCAUCAGGCCUUUGGACGGUGACGUAACCACAGCUUGUCAGUUUCCCCAUCCAGGCAGCCCCAAUUCCCCAGUGCAGACAUCUGGAGCCAGGGAUUGACAAGUGGAUUCCAGGACUGGGCCCUGCCUCCCGCCCUGUUCAGUUCCAGCCCAGCCACGGCCGCCGCCAACGAGGACACGCACUGUCUUUCUGCACAUUCCCACGUACACACACCCCCGCAGCCCCCUCUCCACUCAUUCCUGCAUUUCCGGCAAUGUGAAUUCUGACAGCUCGGGCAGUGUCAGCCUCUCCAGUGCAUUCCUCACCACAGCACCUCACUGCUCCCGAGCCUGCUGACAGCACUCCCCGCCAUACCUACCAAGCUGAAGGUGCAAGGAACCUCUUGAUCCCCACUGUGUCUUUGUCCCAGGGCCACAGCAAAAUAGCACCCCCCCUCCCCCACACACCCUCUAGCCUAAUUUAUUGGACUUUUAAACACAUUUAUUUACUGUGGUAUCUACACCACACCAAACAUCUGGAGGGAAACCGGGAGACAAUCCACCAGGAAUUUAAAUGUUUGUUCUGCAAUGUAACUUUGAAAACCGAACCAGGAAAACUUGACAUCUUUAGCCAAUUGCUUGGUGGUGAGUAGACUUAAGUCAAUAUAUAAUCUGUAAAUGUUGUCCCCUUUGCCCUCUCUCUAUCCAUGAAACUCAUUCACCAAACAGCCCAGAAAUAUUUCUUUCUUCUCCUCUCAGAGGUACGUGAAACCAACCUGAAUCAACAACAUAGUUGUUCAGCCAGCCUCACUGAGAACGAAGGCAUUUCAGAGCUGGAAAGACGCUAGGGUCUGGGGUCUUAUCUUCCACAUUUAUCUGCCUUAUGAUAAUCCAUCCAGUCAUCCUCUUUGCCCUUGCCAGAUCUCAUCGCUUACACUACCACUACCGAAGGAGCAUACCGUCUGUGACUUUUCCUUUUUUUUUUUUUUUUUUUUUGAGACGGAGUCUCGCUCUGUAACCGGGCUGAAGUGCAGUGGCGGGAUCUUGGCUUACUGCAACCUCUGCUUCCUGGGUUCAAGUGAUUCUCCUGCCUCAGCCUUCUGAGUAGCUGGGACUCCAGGCAUGCGCCACCACGCCCAGUUAAUUUUUGUAUUUUUAGUAGAGAUGGGGGUUUCACUAUGUUGGCCAGGUUGGUCUCGAACUCCUGACCUCGUGAUCCAUCUGCCUCGGCCUCCCAAAGUGCUGGGAUGAGAGGCGUGAGCCACCGCACCCGGCCACGUCUGUGACUUUUCUAAAGCUUUAAGAUGAUGUCACCCAUAGGCAGAAAGGUCCACUCAUUUCGUGCAUCUGCAGUCACUCUUCUGACCAGGUGCAGCUCUCUUUUGUUCUAUCAAAGAGAAAGCCAGUCUAAAUUAAUGGGAAACUAGAGAAUUAGGUCAUUUUUCAAGAUGAAAUUGCUGGUAGCUUAAGGAAUCAGCUACUUGAAUCCCAUGCUAAAAAAAGUGUAACUCCUGAGGAGUGAGCUCUUCUUUCUUCCUUCCAUAAUGUCAGGCACUAAGGGAGGUUCAGAAACACAGAGCAGCAUCUACUCCUUUCUCAACGAGCGUGGGGUCCAGUGCAGUUGGCCCUCAUUUAACAAAUAAUUACACCCAUGCGUGAAAGGCCCAGUGGGGAAACAGUGCGGGGAGCCCCAGGCAGAGCUGAUUCAGGCCUGGGGAGGCACGUGAGCCAAAUGUUCAGGGUCCACAGGCCCAGCGGAGUGAUACGGAAGUUUCCAAGAUGGUAAGCCUCUCUCCUGGCCCAUGCUCACCAACGGGACCCCAUUCCUAACCAGGCUUUCCCUCUCUCUCUUUUAAGUGUUCCAGGAAUGUUCCUACCCCUGCGUCUUUGCUGAAGCCCCUCUUGCCUGGGAUGCCCUCUGUCCUCUCUUUCUGCCCACACACAUCCUGCCAGUCCUUCAGACAGAGCCAGCCUCACGGGCUUAGGACCUGAGCAGUUUCACAGGGCCCUGCACAGAAGGAUCCCAAGCUCAGUUGAUUGCUCCGAUCUUGCCAUCUUGAAACUCUUUGAUAAUUUUAUCUUUUAUCUUGUGUUUUGGGAGUGAAAUCCAAUGGGAUAUUGGGGCCUGCAAAGGAGAAGAGGAGAUCCGCACAAACCCGUUCCUGGCUGCUGCAUUCACCUCCAGCGUUUGUGAUGCCCCAGAGCACAGAACUCCAGGGAGCCCACGAUGCAGGAGAGUUCAGCGACAUUCACUGAGUACAAGAGAAGACUGUUGGGAGGCACCAAUGGACUUUGCAACUGGAGAUCUCCGAACUGGACCAUGUCACUGUUAUGUUUAAUUUGCACUGUGCACAGUAGGUACCCAGUCAAUGCUUGUCGAAUUCCAUGGACUGGGCCUUAUACCUCCGAGGAUUUUUCACAGCAGUAGCAUGUGCACAUGCACAGAGCAAGAACACAACCAAUGCUUGUUUGCUGGUGAAGACCUGGUCUCAGUAUUUGGCCCAGGAAACCCAUUCUUCAUGGACAGCAUGAGGCAAGCUAUGGCCCUUGCUGUGGUCUCAGUGGUUCAGCACGGAAGAUGAAGAUGACGGACAGUCUCAGAAUAUUAGCUUUAGAAGGGACUUUGGAUCCUUUUGAUUUUGGUAGGUGAAAUACUUUUUAAAAAUAAAGAAAAGGGACUUUGGACAAAUGCUCUCAUUUUGUAAAUGAAAAAGUAGAGACAGGAAGAGUAACUGAUUUGUCCAAAAUCAAACAAAGUAAAUUGUGUUGCAUCCUC